AUGUCCAUACCCGCUGCCGCCCCCGCCCUCAGCGCCGCUGACACCAAGCCACACCAAGCCCGGCACCACGGCAGCGACGCAGGGAGCGGUGGCCCAGGCAGCCCACCGGCGGGGACAAGAAGGUCAUCCCAACGAAGGUUUUGGGAACAGUAAAAUGGUUCAAUGUAAGGAACGGAUACGGCUUCAUCAACAGGAAUGACACCAAGGAAGACGUAUUUGUAUACCAGCCUGCCAUAACGAAGAAUAACCCCAGGAAGUACCUUCGCAGUGUAGGAGAUGGAGAGACUGUGGAGUUUGAUGUUGAAGGAGAAAAGGGUGCGGAGGCAGCAAACGUUACGGGCCCUGGUGGAGUUCCACUGAAGGCAGUAAAUAUGCAGCAGACCGUAACCAUUAUAGACACCAUCCCCGUCGCAGGGGUGCUCCACGCAAUUACCAGCAGAAUUGCCAGAACAGUGAGCGUGGGGAACAGAGUGAGACAUCGGAGAGUGCUCCCGAAGGCCAGGCCCAACACCGCCUACCGCGGGAGAAGUGAUGGAAGGUGCUGACAACCAGGGUGCGGGACAGCAAGGUAGACCUGGGAGACAGAACAUGUAUGGAGGCUACAGGCCACCAUUCCGCUGAGGUCCUCCUCGCCAAACACAGCCCAGAGAGGACGGCGAUGAAGAGGAUAAGCAGAAUCAAGGAGAGGAAACCCAGGGUCAGCAGCCGCCUCAACGUCGGUACUGCCGGAACUUCGCCCAGAUAACCAACCCUAAGCCACAAGAUGGCAAAGAGACAAAAGCAGCCGAUCCACCGGCUGAGUAA